rnacentral:rRNA from 1 species
GAUGAACGCUGGCGGCGUGCCUCAAACAUGCAAGUCGAGCGGGGCUAUGUAAUAUCGCAAGGUAGAACAUAGCCUAGCGGCGAACGGGUGAGUAACACGUGGGUAACCUGCCUGGAAGACAGGGAUAACGAUUCGAAAGGGUCGCUAAUACCUGAUAAUAUCCUUUCAUCGCAUGGUGAUAGGAAGAAAGGGGAAACCCGCUUUCAGAUGGGCCCGCGUCCCAUCAGCUAGUUGGUAAGGUAAAGGCUUACCAAGGCGACGACGGGUAGCCGGUCUGAGAGGAUGUACGGCCACACUGGGACUGAGAUACGGCCCAGACUCCUACGGGAGGCAGCAGUCGAGAAUAGUCUACAAUGGCCGGAAGGCUGAUAGUGCGACGCCGCGUGAACGAGGGAGCCCUUGGGGUGUAAAGUUCUUUCUAUACGAGCAGUGCUAUAUAUAUGGAUAGUAUAUAUAGAGGGAUAGUAGUAUAGGAAUAAGCAACGGCUAACUCCGUG